rnacentral:lncRNA from 1 species
CUCAGACAAGUACAUUUUUGAAAGAGCUCAUGCCUCCUAACAUUAUUCUUGUUCAUGGAGAAGCCAAUGAAAUGGGAAGGCUCAAACAGAAACUUAUCACAGAGUUUGCUGAUGGCAAUACCAAGAUAAUCACCCCAAAGAAUUGCCAGUCUGUUGAGAUGUAUUUCAACUCUGAAAAAAUGGCAAAAACCAUUGGAAAGCUGGCUGAAAGGACCCCGGAUGUUGGUGAAACUGUCAGUGGUAUACUGGUGAAGAAGGGCUUCACUUAUCAAAUCAUGGCACCUGGAGAUCUCCAUGUCUUCUCACAACUAUCAACUGGAAAUAUUACUCAGAGGAUUACCAUUCCUUUUUCCGGUGCAUUUGGUGUGAUAAAGCACAGGCUUGAGCAGAUUUAUGAGAGUGUGGAGUCUGGAACUGACGAGGAGUCUGGGUUUCCAACAUUGCAAGUGCAUGAGCUGGUAACAGUGAAACAAGAGUCUGAUAGACAUAUUUCACUUCAUUGGACUGCUGACCCCAUAAGUGAUAUGGUGUCUGAUUCAAUUGUAGCUUUGGUUUUGAACAUCAGCCGGGAGGUUCCUAAGGUAAUUGUCGAGUCAGAGGACAUAAAAUCUGAGGAAGAAAAUGAGAAAAAAGCAGAGAAAGUGAUUUAUGCCCUCCUUGUUUCACUUUUUGGAGAUGUGAAACUUGGAGAGAACGGGAAGCUGGUCUUACGUGUUGAUGGGAAUGUGGCAGAGCUUGACAAACAGAGUGGGGAUGUUGAGAGUGAGAAUGAAGGUCUCAAGGAACGAGUUAGGACAGCAUUUAGGCGAAUACGAAGUGCUGUGAGGCCAAUCCCGCUCCCGCUCCCUGCACCUGCAUCUUAGCUUUUCUCUUUCCUUUUCCUUCUUGUUUCAACAUGUUUCUGACCUUCGAGAAUAGAUUUUGUUUCUAUUGAGCACUAAUUUCUAAUUUAUCCUCUGUUUCCGUAGUAAUUUUAUGUUUGAAUGCAUCCUGCCUUGAGGUUGCCUCUUAUUUUAGUCUCGUGCCUCAAUGAUUUUGCUCAUUGCUGUAGUUUGGACUUAUCCUACCAAGGGAUAGUUCGAUUUCAAAUUAGUGCCUUAAAAAAUCAGUGUCUAAAAAUAUAAUUGAAUAUUUGCUGCAUGCAAGUUGUAAAUAGUCAGAUUUCUAACCCUUUUUUCCAUGCGAGAAUUGCUGUCGUGACUUGAUUGUAAUCUUGAAGUGCAGGACUAAUUGCUAGUUCAGUUGAUUUUAUUCUUGAAAUGCAGGAUUAAUUGCUUGUUCAGUCAGAUUAUAAAUCCGCGCUUCAAAAAAAUCAGUUUCUAAUAAUAUGAUUGAAUGUUGGUUGCAUACAAGUUGUAAAUAGUCAAAUUUGUAACCAUUGUUUCCAUGCGAGUGUUGCUAUCAUUACUUGAUUUAAUUCUUGAAGUUCAAUUGACCGUUUAAUUUAUGGGAUUGAUUGCAAUCAUAGUUAUUAAACCCGGUUCGGGAGUUGACUCGGCCAAAGAGCCGGGUCCCGGGUUUUAUGGGUUGACCCGGGUUAACCCAGGUCAACCCAUAAAACCCAUGUUAUUUAUGGGGUCAGGUGAUUAAAGAAAGAAAUGGAAAAGGAAAGCAAUUAUAAAGAGGUGAAGUGGGACCCAAUGUGGCAGGGCAUAGGCAUGGGAGAGGGUGACGUUAUUGGUUGUUGGUUGUUUUGUGCAGAGAUCUCUUAAUCUCAUCACCAUCUCCUCCUACCCUCUCUGGCUCCUUGACAUGCUUUCCCCUGGGGUGAAGCACAGUCCUUGCUCCUUACGCACCCAUGCUCUAAAGCUUAAAAACACCACACGAAUCCUCUUUCUUUUACAUCUUUUCCCUGCAAAUUCCUCUGGUUUCUACAUGCUUGAAAACAUUAGCUAGAGAGAGAGAGAUAUGUUAAAGACUUGACGGUGAUAAGAAAGCCUGUGAUGCUGGUAUUGUACCUAUUGCCUCACUUUCUCUUGAAAUUGCGAGUUUCGUCCAGUUUAAUCUUCAAUUUUCUUCAGGUUACAGUCAUCAAUCGUCAGGCCAGAAAGAAGAAAUGGAACCCAAUGCCAACCCUCAAGAUCUCCAAACCCAGAUCGACCUGCAAUCAUAUCAAGCGAACCACCUCCAAAACGCCGGGUCUCAUCCGGGUUCGCCCGGGUCAUGGGUCGACCCGCUGGGUCGACCGGGUUUUGCCGGGUUGUUGCACCGGCCGGUCUUUUGACAAACCCGGACCGGUCUAGCCACCGGGUCGACCCGCCGGGCCGGUCCGAGUUUAAUAACUAUGAUUGCAACAUCUUUGGUAAUAGGAAUUUGUGAUUGGGUGAUUUUACCAGAGAGAGAGAAAAAAGCAACACCAUUGACGGUGAAUCAGUGGUGGAGAAGAAACACGUGUUAUCUGGUCAGGUAGGCACCACUUAGAGGAGUCCUUGGAAGCUACUAUAUGGUCAUAUAUCUUGGCUGCGCAUGCUGCCAAAAUUUUCUGGAGCCCCCAUACACCUCUAGUUUAAUAAUUUAAAUAAUAUUAUAUAAUUAGUAAAAAAUGCAACAACUCUUUUCUUAAUUCGAUAAUUAAAAAAAAAAAGAGCAAAAGCAAAAUACAUAAAUAUCAUUGCACAUUUGAAUUUUUUUUUUUUUGUCUUCAAGAGGUAAGUUCAUGAAUUCAUUGUAUAAUUAAAGCUGAAAUGCUAAAAAUACCUCCAAGUGAUAGGUAUAUAUCAUUUUUCUGUAAGGGUAAAAAAACUAUUAUAUUGUGCUAAAAAAUUAUGUGAAGACCAAUCCUCCGUCAAUGAAUUCAGCAAUGCCAAUUGAAUCCCCGUGAAAAUAUAAAACGCCCUCAAAAGCAACAUCUUUAAGUUUUGUGAAGAAGAGCUUAACAUUAUUACAAUCUACAAUCUACAGUGCUAUAAAUCUAAGUCCACGGUUAAAUAUUGAUGCCUUUUAGUUUUUUUUUUGUAAUGAUUUAAUUAUCACAUUCUAUUUUGUAUUUUAUUUUCCUAAGAUUUUGAUAUGAUUUGUAUGAUUUGAUAUUUACGGGGAGGGAUUUAAACUUUCCUAUUUUUAUGGUCAAUCGGAAUAUUAGCUUGCCUUUAAAUAGUUAAAUUUAUGAAUGCAUCCAAUAGUGUGCAUGAUAAUACACACACCUAGAUAAUGUUUUCUCAUGGUUCAAGGUGUCACAUUAUUCCUUUUUUUUUUUUGACAUAGUUAGCUCUAGCAUGAGCAUCAACAAGCUAUAGUGAGCUGGAUUUCUAUCCAAAGAGUUUAAUGAAGAAGAACAGUAACGUAUAGUAUGCUAUCCAAUGGUAGUAAUGAGUUAAAAGAGAGAGAAGAAAGAGGAAGAAAGAGACGAGAGAGGAGGGAGAGAAAGAAACUAAUUUCAUCAUAAUUUUUUCCAGCAAAAAAUGUUGUUACAUAUAAGGUACCGUUGUCUAACAAUACUAUUCCUUUAAUCUAGGCCAACCUGUGGCAACAAUUAUAACUAAUAAAUAAAAAUAAAACGCUACAUUGAAGAUGGGAUAAAUGAAACUUAAAAUAAGGACAAAACAUUGUGUUGAAAUGGGUAAGUGAAAUGCUAUGUUUUCCUUUGUUUUUUUAAUUAAAAUUAUAAUGAUUAUUUUUUUUGAAUCAAUCAACUCUAAUUCCCUUUUUUUUUUUGCGUCUUCUUUUUUCAAUAAUGCACAUAACAAUUUUUCAGUAAUCAAUCAACCCUAACUCUUUUUUUUCGGCAUCUUCUUUCUUCAGUAAUGCACAUAACAAUUCUCCCUUCAUAAAAAUACUUUUGUUCUCAAGGGGAAAUGUUGGAAACCUCAGAGAGAACUCUUCAAGGAACUCCUAUAUGGCUUCAACUGGAGGUGAAUUCUUCCAUAAGAUCAGGACCUGAGUGGUUGCACGAUUGUGAUGCUUCACCAUUCUUCUAUUCAAUAUUGCUUAAGGUUAGGGUGUUAGGCUAUCAUGUAGUUUAGGUAAAUCAUCGUAUAUUCUUUUACACCCCACAUGCUUCUUUAAUUGUGAUACAUGGAAAACUGGGUGAAUUAUGGCAAUAGGAGUAGGCAUAGUUUGUAAGCCAUUGUCCCAAUACGUUCAAUUACCUGAUAUGGACCAUAGAAUUUAGGUGAUAUUUUGUGUGAUUCUCUUGUAAUCACUUACCUCUGUUUGUACAAUUAUAGUUUAAGAUAAACCCCCUUACCUACAACAAACAUCCUUUCAUUUAUUUUUUUGUUAGCCUAUUGGAUCAUCCUAUAUUGUGCCACCUUGAGAUUAGUUUUGAUAGAUUUCAACAUGUUUUUCUUUUAUAUGAGAAGUGCAUCCACAACUUCAAUAUUAGAAUCCUUUAGCAAGUAAAUAAUAUGAAUAGAAGGCAUAUGACCGUAAAGUAUUUCAUAUAGUGUAGAUUUAAUAGAAGUAUGAUAAUGUGUAUUGUACCACUAUUCAACUAAGGAUAACUAUGUGGACCAUUGACUAGGAUUAACACCUAACAUGCACCUCAAGUAGUUUUCUAGGCAUUUAUUGGUUGCUUCUGUUUGCCUAUUAAUCUGGGAUGAUAUGUAGUAAAGAAAUACAAUUCAACCCCUUAUUGGGCAAAUAGAUGCUUCCAAAACUGACUUAGAAACACCGGGUCCCUGUCACUGAUACAACCAUAUUAUUUGAUAGUUUUACCCAUAUUUACCUAGUAUUUUACCUAUGUUUUAUAUAUAAAAUACCUUGAUAUUAUUUGUUUUAUGUUUUGAAGGCACUUUUAGAUGUAAGAUUAAAAAAGAAAUAAAUUGGAGACAAUUCAGAUCAUGUUUCAGCCCGUGUCGAACAUUGACAGAUUGAUCUCCGAUCGAUGUUUUGUGCAGAGCUUGAGCUCUAGAGGUCGAAAUGAAGUGAUUAUAGUGGCAUUAAAAAGAUAACAUCCAUACUUUUAUAUACAUAUAUGGCAAGAAAAAUAAAAAAAGAAAGAGCAUGAAAAUUGCAGUUUUUAAAGACAAAUCUUGCAUUCGGCCAUUUCGACUUGAAUAUCUUGAGUUAGAGAAGUCCAUUUGAUACAAACUCAAUUGUUUUGGAUUUUUGACUCGAAGACCUACUAGCCUACCAAGUUUUAGUAGAAAAAAGAGCUCAUAUGAGGGCGAUAUGAUUUUUUUAAGACGACUCAUAAAUUCUACCAGCAGACAGGUUUUGUGAAAAAACAAGUCCAAUUUACUUCCCAAACGUUCAAACCGACAUCCAAAUAUUUAUUUGGGAAAUUUAACUUCUCUAAGUUCAAAUUCAAAGCUUGAAGAUUUUAUGCAAGACUAUUUCUUUUUUUUUUAUAUAGAAAAAUAGUUAUUGCAUUACUUAAAUGUAAAUUGUCUACUUAGAAAAUAAUUAUUUUAUAGGGAAGUAGGGAUUAGAGUUUCCUAUCAAAUAAAAAAAAAGAGAGAAAGGAAGGGAGGGGCGACCAAAAAGAGAAGAAAAACUCCACCCUUUCCUUCUAUACCUGAAAUCAUGUAUUCAUCUUUUCUCUUAAUUAUUUUUUGAUAGAUAUGUAAGGUUAAGUUCUUUUUCUUAGUUGCAAGGACAUAAAAACCUUCGGAUUUCAAGAAUUGUGAGAUCUAUUUUACAUUUUCUUUCCAGUUUAUAUGAUGAGUAUGCUUGUUUUUCUAUGCUUAUUUCCUAUAAUUGCUUAGUUUGAUUAUUAGAGCGAACUCUAAGUUAUUAUUCUAACGAAUCUAUUGCUAAAUUUGCUAUUAAAACUGGAGUUAUGAUAUCUAAAUUUAUGAAGCAACUAAGUUUAAUAAUUUUGAAAAAUCUAUGUUAUUAAUCUUAGAAAAAAUAUUCGAUCAAAUCAAACAUAGACUACAGACAGUUAUGUUGUCUAGAUUUAUCAACCUAUCUAGUUCUUAAGGUUGCCAUUGAAUUAAAUUACUAGUGCGGACACUGUGGUGAUUUAAUGGUUAUGGUUAGUUACACUGCAGACCGGUUAACUAACUAAUGUUAAGAAAAGAUAAAUAUUCAGAAUAUAAAUUGACGUAUCGUUUCAAUGAUCAGUUUUUAUUUAUGUAGAUAGACGUUUACUUGAGACCAAUGUUUUCUCUCUUGAUAAGUUUAAGAUUCAUUUAAUUUAGCUUGAUUGUUUUAUUCAGUUUACCAUAGCAUGACCUAUAUAACCUCACCCCCUCCCAAUUUCAUAUCAUCUAGCAUAAAAACCUGAAAUAGAUCUUCCGCGUGGGAUCAAUCGUUUACUUGCUCUAUAAUAUCUUGUUUAUUUAAGCUAGGGUAAUUAAUUUGUGUGACCGCGAUAUCGUAACAGUCAAAUCAUAGAUGAAAACCCAUGUAAUUUAUACACAUUUUCAUGAAAAGAGUAGCCACAAUAACAACAAAAUGAGGGUGUGUGCUAUGGCUAUGAAAUGAACACACUUACCAAAUCUAUCCACCAUCACAUAAAUAACAUCCUUACCAUUAGACUUAAGGAGGCCUUCAAUAAAAUCCAUGUUUAUGUCAUUAAAAGGAGCUUGUGGAAUAGGAAGGGGUUGCAGUAAUAUUAGGCUGAGGACAUUCUUUGUUUUGUUCCUUUGGCAUACACUGCAUUCCUUCAUAUACUGCCUGAUGUGUUUAUGUUGCCUUUCCCAAUAAAAUAAACUCCCAACUCUUUUAACAGUAGCACUAACCCUAGAGUGACCCCUUAUAGAUGAAUCACAAUAGAUGUCAAUAAGUUUUUUUUGUAGCCCAAGAUCAUAACUAACUACUAUUUUACCUUUCAUGUUUAGGUGUCCAUUCUCCUAUUUAUAGUAAGGGUGAGAGUUGAGAUCCUUACAUAUAUCCUGAAUGAUCUCUUGUGUAUUUCUAUCCUUUUUUUAUGAUGCUUUAAUCUGAUUGAUUAGGGUGGUAAAAAAUGAUAAUACUGCUAUAGUAAACAUUUAUUCUUUAAGAUUCCUAGAUAAGGUAUCAGAAUCAAAGUUAUCUUUGCUCUUAUUGUAUUCAAUUUCAAAAUCCAAGCCCAAUAGUUUGGAAAUCUAUAAGUGUUGAGAAGGGAAUGUGAUCUUUUGUUCUAUUAGAUACUUCAAACUGACAUCAUCUAUUCGAACCUUGAAAUUCCUGCCCCAUAGGUAGUGUCUCUAUUUAAAGAUUGCAUAAAGUAUAGCCAUCAUUUCUUUUUUGUAGGUAGACAGAAUUUGUUGUCUUAAACCCAGAGAUUUGCUAAUGUAGUUGAAUAAUGUCCUUCUUGCAUCAACACUACCCCAAUUCCACUUCCCGAAGCAUCUGUUUCUAUAACAAACACCUUGUUUAAGUAAGGCAAGGCCAAGACUGGAGGCUGAUUCAUUAACUCUUUUAGCUUCUUAAAAGCUUUUAUGUUCUACAUAAAUGCAUCAUUCCUUAUCAACUGUGUCAAUGGUUUAUAAAUUAACCUAUAACCCUUGACAAAUUUCUUGUAAUAGCCAACAAGGACAAGAAAACUACGCAAUUGCUUGAUAUUUCAAGGUUCAGGCUAAUCAACUAUUGUCUUGAUCUUUUAGGGUCAGUAAAAAAUCCAUCUUUAGUUAUUAUAAAUCAUAAAUUUUAUUAGGUACUUCUUGAAUACUUGAUUCAUCAAACUUUGUAGUAGGGACAUUACCAGAAACUCAUAAUAUCUAUUAUGAGUCUUGAAUGCUAUUUUAAAAACAUCUUAUCUUACCAUUCUAACCUAAUAAUAACCAGAUCUCAUAUCCACCUUGGAAAACACUAUUAUACCAACCGACUCUUCUAAUAGUUCAUCUACUAAGAGUAUAAGGAGCUUGUCCUUAAUGGUUAGUUUAUUAAGGUUCUAUAUGUAAGGCCCGACCCACUCCCCCUUGCAGAAUAUUGUCCGCUAUGGCUCAGCCCAACCCGGCUUUCACGCCUCACGGUUUUGUUCCUGGCAGCCCACAGGCCCAAAAACGCGUCCUACAAGGUUAGGUACCAACUGCCUUAAUAUGCCAUGGCUCUAGACACUCUUCUUUCGAUGUGGGAUGUUACACUAUAGUUAACACAAAGCCUUUAUGAACCAUUCUUUUUCUUAACCAAGAUCACUAGAGAAGCAAAUGGAUGGUUGCUAGGCUAAAUAAUUCCUGAUUCCAAUACAAACCUCUUUUCCAUGUUAUUUUAAUUCUUUUUUUUUUUUAAUUUUUUGACUACUAUUUUUUUGUGUUAUUUUACUCUGUCCAUUUGGUAAAAGAGAGAAAAAAGAAAUAAAAGAAAAAGAAAAAAGAAAGCACUCUCUAACACAUUUUAGGUAGUCACCGUCCACCAAAACGUCUCCUCCAGCCUCCUUCCCUUCCAGAAGCCGGAAUCACGACCGCGCCACCAGUAACCGCAACUGCUGCAACCGAUGACAUGUGCUCUAAACGAGCCAAGGAUAUCUUGUCCAUAGAAGCACAACAACGUGAAGCUAUAAUGGGUUUGAAAGACGCAAAAGAGAGGAGUCGAAGGUCAUAAAAGUAGGAGUUUGGUAUAUACUUGUCUUCUAACAAUACUAAUAUAGGUACAUGUAUAGGUAUGUUAUCUCUCUUUGCUUGCUGCUGCUACUCUUUCUCUUGGUUUAUUUGGGAGAAAUUAAAAAAUAGUUUUCUUUUUCUGAAUCUUACAUGCUAGUAUAAUAAAACAUUUAUAGGUAGAUUAACUGAAUCACUAAUGUGUUUAGUACAAAAUUGUUUUUUUUUUUUUUAUAGAAACCAAACAGACUGCUGUUUUAGGUUAACUUCAGCUGUAAGUUGUGUGACAGGAUGCGUACUUCUUAAAUUGUUCUUUUUAUUUUUUAUUUUUGGAUUAGUAGCUUUGCUCCUUUUUUUUUUCUAUGAGAUGUGGUAAAUUAGAUUUUGCAAGAUUGCAUAUGGCUGACACCAACAUGACCAAAAAGGGUCGCCGAAACUGUACAUGAGAAGGGCGGGUUCAAUGUAGUAGUAGGUCAAGUAUCAAUGAUAAGAACAUAUAAGUUCAUAUGUUAUUAAUGUAGAUUUCCUAAGCGUUUAGUAUUGUGGUAAAGAUUGUUUUUUAAAUUAUGUUUUUAUUGGAAAUGCAUUAAAAUAAUUUUUUUUAAAUUUUUUUAACAUUUAAGUACAUCAAAAUAAUUUUAAAACAAAAAAAAAAUUUAAAAAAAUUUUAAACUUUUUUUAAAAAACAUGGCCUAUGGCGUUGCCAAACACAAAUUUAAAAGAGUGUUUGGGAACGCGGUGCAAACUAUGUUCCCUAAAAAUUCAAAAAAAAUCUUUUUUUUGGUUAAAGAUUAAAUUUUUUUGUGUGUUUUGAAUCAUUUUGAUGCGCUGAUCUCAAUAAUAUUUUUUUUAAAAUUAAAAAAACAUCAUUUUAAUUUAUUUUAACACGAAAAAUAUUUUAAAAAACAACUACAAUCACAAUUCCAAAGAGAUCCGGUUUUUAAAGUCAUCUUAUCUGUUUGAAUCAACCGUGUCUUAUCUCAUCUCUCUCUCUUUCCCCUUUGUCAUGUGACUACUUAGGACUUGAACAUAGGCCGAGCUAACCAUGAUUGGUGUAUUUUAAUUUGAUCCAUUAAUUAAAUCUUCAAGUAAAAGCAAAGAAAACCCCUUGAAACAGUGUCUCUGAUGUAGCGGAACUCCCAUAUCCACCUUAUAAUUUUAAAAAAGUUCGAGCUUGAAGCAUAAUCCCUAUAAACAUUAUAAGCUUUAUAUCAACUUCUGUAAGUUGUAUUCUCUUAUUUUAUAUAAUCAUUACAAAUCAGAAGCUGAGUGGGUUUAGCUGUAUAGGAGUUUUUCUACAGAGACAUAAAUACAGUUUGGUUUUCGGGCAGCUGAAGAACACAAGAAUGGCAUCAACAGGGCAAUCACAGUCACUAAAAAGAAGGGAUGCACCAGUAACAAGAGAAGGAGGGGAUCAGCUAACUCUAACCCCUUUAGGUGCUGGAAAUGAAGUGGGUCGAUCCUGUGUUUACAUGUCAUUUAAAGGCAAGACAGUAUUGGUAUUGCUUCCCUCCCUCCUUCCCUCUAUGCAUUUUGUUGUUUUUCAAUUAUGCCAUUUUAUACUAAUUUACUAUUGGUAAUUCUUGAUCAUGCUGGAUCAAAUUCAAUGAAUGUAUUUUGUUUAUUAAUUUAUGUUUUUGUUGUCGAAUUAUGCCUAUGUUAGUUUGAUUGUGGAAUUCAUCUGGCUUAUUCGGGUAUGGCUGCUUUGCCUUACUUCGAUGAGAUUGACCCUUCCACUAUUGAUGUACUUCUCGUUACACAGUAUGUAUUUCUUCACCUUCUCUUGCUAAGUCUCCUUGCUUGGCUAUUGUAUAUAUGUAUAUUGAUUUUCCAUUCCAUGAGGCAAUAUUUUGUUUCUCACUAUUAGUUUCGUAAAUGCUAGUUUUUUCUCUCACUGAAUGCUCCCUUGAUUUGACCUUGCUUGCUUUUUUGUUUGUUCAUUUUCUUGUCAAAAGAAUACUUUGAAGAGAUAUCUCCUAUGAUGAUGUAGUAAGAUUGCAUGAAAUUUUUAGCUGCGAGAGAUCAACUUGUCCAAGGAAGAACAUGAAAUUGUUUCAGAAUUAGAGAACACUCAGCUCAGAAGUCAGAUAUACAAGUAUUGAGAAAGUUAGUGUUAGGGUAUUUUGGUCUAAUAUUUGGGACGAUUUUAUUGUGACAAUACAAGUUGGGAAGGAGUUUAAAUAUUGUGAGAAAAACCGCAUGAUGCAGUUCCUUAGGUGCUUGAACUUGCAUUAUUAGGGCCAUUUGAUAGGCAGUGGCUAGGUUCCUCAUCAGUAGAAGUUAGCCAAGUCUGUUAUAAUGCUGGACUUGACAAUAAUAUAAAUUGAAACAGUGAAACUUAAACUUGAUGCUUUGUCAACAAGAGAGGGCAGCCUGAACUUUCUUACCUCUAUAAAAAAUUAUCAGUAGUAUUCUUGAUGUGUGCUGGGAACUUUAUACUCUUAACUGGAUCUAUGCAGUUGUAGAGAAGUAUAGAUGUAAUGAGAUGUCUGAUAAAGUUUUGUUGGAAUUUGAAGUGUCAUAGACUCUUGAUAUCUAUAUUUUAAUUAUUCACAUGCUCCUUGUUGCAAGAAGAUGAGUGAUCUUCUAAGAAAUAGGUUAGUGCUCGUGAGGUUUAUUGCUUAUAAUGGGAACCACAAUAGAACAGUGCUGAAAAUGCAUGCAAUUGGGGAGUGAAAGCAAUCCACUUUCCGGCUGAAGAAAUCAUUUAGGAAAAUCUUGAUUAUCUAUGAUAUAUUAUAAUAAUUUUUUUUUUUAAUGUGAUUAAAUAUCAUAAAGUGUUCAACAAGAAAGCAAAACAAUAAAAGAAUAUAAAUUAUUUCUACUAAUUAAUUAUGUUGAAUAUUAAUGUGAUUGCAUAUUAUGCAAUGAUUCAAAAAAUGAAAAUAUUGAAAAAUCAUUGUAUCACAUUGGUUGGGAAAUAAAUAUGCUCCAUUUGCUUGAAUUUCAUUUAAGGUGUCAGGAAACUCUACUUGGUUUCUAUUUUUUUUUUGAGAAUUCUUUCUGUUACAUUAAUGAAGUCAUAAGGGCCUCUUGGAUUUUAUUUUAAACAAAUAAAAUCAAUACUGUGUUUUCUAUAUUUUUUCAAUCAAAAUUUUUAGGCCUCUCUAGUUUUUCAAUCAAAAUUUUUAGGCCUCUCUAGUUUUUUCUCAUCAAUCAUUGGGAGUGAUGCUUUCUUCCUGCAGCUUUCACAAGGUUUGUUUUUUUUACUGAUUUCUACAAAGUUAUUGUGUGUAUCUUUCACUAGGAUCAAUCUAACAUGUUCACUCUUUAUCACUAGGAUCAAUCUAACAUGUUCACUCUUUAUCAGACCACAUUCAGAGGUCGAGUUUUCAUGACUCAUGCAACAAAGGCUAUCUACAAGUUGCUUUUGACUGAUUAUGUAAAAGUGAGCAAGGUUUCAGUGGAAGAUAUGUUGUUUGAUGAGAAAGACAUAAACCGCUCAAUGGAUAAAAUCGAGGUCUGUGUUUAUGAAUUUUUGCAUUCUCUUGUUUACAUCUAUCCGCAUCCUUUUUGUUCUUCCAGAAACUUGAUCCACUUCGUUUACCUUCCUUCUAAGCAAUAGCUUGGAAAAAUUUUUGUUUAUUAUAUUUGGCUUGGCAUUAUGUUGUGGCCCCAAAGUCAGGGGCUCAGGAAUUCAGCUUAUUGGUUAUUCUUCUUUAUCACCUCCUAUCCAUGUUGAAUUAAUUGCUCUAGAUGAAAGGUCUGCGUCUUCUGGAAUUUAAAGUGUUUCAAUCUUACAUUUGGUGUUGUGAAUUUUGCUGUCUAUGGAUUUCUUAGCUUUCAUUCUGUUUGAGUUUGGCAUUGUUAGUUGUUGGCUUCUCAUUUGAGGUUUGCAUGUUUCGCUUGGAAACUUAGGACCAAUUUAUAUGCAUCUGAUAAUUAAGUUAUGCCUUUCUUUUUCCAGUAGUGAUCAAUCUAAGUUGAUUCCACACUUAAGUUGCAUUUGGAAUACUCUAUUGCCUGAUUAAUCAAAGAGCAUAUUCAAGUAGUUGUGGUUGACAGCCAUGUAUCUUUUUUGAACUAUGAGAGUUUGGGUCAUAUUACAGCGAGUGCCAUCUCACUCUCUAUCUUCCUGCACAUGUAAGAUUUUAGUGAUUAGUAAUAAGAUAACAGUAAUUCAACAACAAAAAAAAAAAGAUAAAGAUAAAGAUAAAGGAAAAUUUUAUAAGCCAAGUGGGAACCUUCUGGUAGGCAUACAGGGCCCCUGCCCUAGUACAGUUAAGCAGAAAGGUUUGGUAACAACUGGAUGAAAAUUUAUUUAUUUUUUCCCUUGUUUGUUCGAAGAAAGGGUGCUUGUUCCAAAAUGGUAGUUGCUUAUCUUUUUCUCAAUAUAGCAUCUCUUUUGGUAAGCAUUAUGCUAUGCUUGCCAUUUUAAGUUGAUAAAUCUGUCCGUGACCGAUCCAUAUGAGGUAAUGUUUGGGCUGAUUAAAAGAUGUUUUCACAAUUAUGAAAUAAUAAUAAAAAGUAUUUAAGUUUUGGUAGCAUUCUGAAAAUACAAUCCUAUGGAGCCAAUUCAAAGCGAGGAUUUCUUUUUUCUUUUGAUUUUAUUUCCAUCCUGUAGCACAAUCAUGAUCCAUGAGUGCAAGUGGUCAAAACCAUUGAGAGAUUGCAGAGGGAAAGAGAGGAUAUCACUUUUAUAUAUUUUUCUUUUCAUACAUGGACUGUUAAUUCUAAUCCCUGACACUUUUGUCAAGGUUGGGUGCAUGUGUUUGCAUUUUUGUCUUUUUUUGUGAGCAGAUCUGCUGGUGUUUGCCAGGUCUUAUUUUCCUUAUGAUGGCCUAGCUUGUAAUCUUCCUUUGUCAUCCUCUGUUUAACUUAAGAAUCCUUAAUUUCAUUAAUGAUUUUUGUAAUUGCAGGUUAUUGACUUCCAUCAGACUGUGGAUGUUAAUGGCAUUAAAUUUUGGUGCUACACUGCUGGCCAUGUCCUUGGGGCUGCCAUGUUCAUGGUAGAUAUUGCCGGUGUUCGAGUGCUGUAUACUGGAGACUAUUCGCGUGAAGAAGAUCGGCAUCUUCGUGCUGCUGAGAUGCCACAAUUCUCUCCAGACAUAUGCAUAAUUGAAUCUACCUAUGGUGUCCAACUCCAUCAACCUCGACACAUUCGGGAGAAGCGCUUCACUGAUGUUAUCCACUCCACCAUCUCUCUAGGUGGUCGUGUUCUAAUUCCAGCAUUUGCCCUUGGCCGAGCUCAAGAACUCCUUUUGAUCCUUGAUGAGUAUUGGUCAAACCAUCCCGAGCUUCAUAACAUUCCCGUAUAUUAUGCUUCUCCCCUUGCGAAAAAGUGUAUGACUGUUUACCAGACAUACAUCCUUUCUAUGAAUGAAAGGAUCCGCAAUCAGUUUGCGGAUUCAAACCCCUUCAAAUUCAAGCAUAUAUCACCGUUAAAUAGCAUUGAAGAUUUUACUGAUGUAGGGCCAUCUGUGGUUAUGGCAACUCCUGGAGGACUGCAGAGCGGUUUGUCAAGGCAGUUGUUUGAUAUGUGGUGCUCUGAUAAGAAAAAUGCUUGUGUUAUACCUGGAUUUCUUGUUGAAGGGACCUUAGCUAAGACAAUCAUUAAUGAACCAAAGGAGGUACAGCUCAUGAAUGGACUGACUGCACCACUCAACAUGCAGGUCCAUUACAUCUCGUUCUCUGCCCAUGCAGAUUAUGCUCAGACAAGUACAUUUUUGAAAGAGCUCAUGCCUCCUAACAUUAUUCUUGUUCAUGGAGAAGCCAAUGAAAUGGGAAGGCUCAAACAGAAACUUAUCACAGAGUUUACUGACGGCAACACCAAGAUAAUCACCCCAAAGAAUUGCCAGUCUGUUGAGAUGUAUUUCAACUCUGAAAAAAUGGCAAAAACCACUGGAAAGCUGGCUGAAAGGACCCCGGAUGUUGGUGAAACUGUCAGUGGUAUACUGGUGAAGAAGGGCUUCACUUAUCAAAUCAUGGCACCUGAAGAUCUCCAUGUCUUCUCACAACUAUCAACUGGAAAUAUUACUCAGAGGAUUACCAUUCCUUUUUCCGGUGCAUUUGGUGUGAUAAAGCACAGGCUUGAGCAGAUUUAUGAGAGUGUGGAGUCUGGAACUGACGAGGAGUCUGGG